rnacentral:rRNA from 1 species
CCUACGGGUGGCUGCAGUGGGGAUUAUUGGACAAUGGGGGGAACCCUGAUCCAGCCAUGCCGCGUGUGUGAAGAAGGCCCUCGGGUUGUAAAGCACUUUCAGUGAGGAAGAACGCCUGGUGGUUAAUACCCAUCAGGAAAGACAUCACUCACAGAAGAAGCACCGGCUAACUCCGUGCCAGCAGCCGCGGUAAUACGGAGGGUGCGAGCGUUAAUCGGAAUUACUGGGCGUAAAGCGCGCGUAGGUGGCUUGAUAAGCCGGUUGUGAAAGCCCCGGGCUCAACCUGGGAACGGCAUCCGGAACUGUCAAGCUAGAGUGCAGGAGAGGAAGGUAGAAUUCCCGGUGUAGCGGUGAAAUGCGUAGAGAUCGGGAGGAAUACCAGUGGCGAAGGCGGCCUUCUGGACUGACACUGACACUGAGGUGCGAAAGCGUGGGUAGCAAACAGGAUUAGAUACCCCGGUAGUC